UACAGAGGUCUCAAGCGUUGUUCGGAUUCAUUGGGCGUAAAGGGCGCGUAGGCGGCGGGGUAAGUCGGGUGUGAAAUCUCAGAGCUCAACUCUGAAAUGGCACUUGAUACUGCUCUGCUAGAGGAGUGGAGAGGAGAUUGGAAUUCACGGUGUAGCAGUGAAAUGCGUAGAUAUCGUGAGGAAGACCGGUGGCGAAGGCGGAUCUCUGGACAGUUCCUGACGCUGAGGCGCGAGGGCCAGGGGAGCAAACGGG
rnacentral:rRNA from 1 species